AUUGAACGCUGGCGGCAGGCCUAACACAUGCAAGUCGAGCGGAUGAAGGGAGCUUGCUCCUGGAUUCAGCGGCGGACGGGUGAGUAAUGCCUAGGAAUCUGCCUGGUAGUGGGGGAUAACGUCCGGAAACGGGCGCUAAUACCGCAUACUUCCUGAGGGAGAAAGUGGGGGAUCUUCGGAUCUCACGCUAUCAGAUGAGCCUAGGUCGGAUUAGCUAGUUGGUGGGGUAAAGGCCUACCAAGGCGACGAUCCGUAACUGGUCUGAGAGGAUGAUCAGUCACACUGGAACUGAGACACGGUCCAGACUCCUAAGGGAGGCAGCAGUGGGGAAUAUUGGACAAUGGGCGAAAGCCUGAUACAGCCAUGCCGCGUGUGUGAAGAAGGUCUUCGGAUUGUAAAGAACUUUAAGUUGGGAGGAAGGGCAGUAAGUUAAUACCUUGCUGUUUUGACGUUACCAACAGAAUAAGCACCGGCUAACUUCGUG
rnacentral:rRNA from 1 species